AUGGGAUCAGUCUUGUCCUACGCCGCCGACGCAGCCACGGCGACCAAGAACUACGUGCGGCAAAGGAGGUCAACCACGGCAGAUGACGUCGCCGGUUGGUCGAGCCUGCCGGAUGACCUCCUGUUCACCAUCAUGGCGUCGCUGGACGUCCCCAGCCUCCGGCGCACUGGCGCCGUGUGCAAGUCCUGGCGCGCCGCGCACCACGCCUUCCGCCUCCCCGAGCUUGAGCGCGCGCCGUGCCUGCUCUACGCAUGCGAGGAGUACGGGCCCAACUAUGCCGCCCUCUACUGCCCAGCCACUGGUGCCACCUUCCGCGUCCCCUUCCCGGGGCCCCCGCACGAGAAGCGGGGUUUCGCCUUCGCGUGCCAAGGCGGCUGGGUGUUCACCACCGACGAGAUCGGCAACCCGUACCUCCUCAACCCCGUCACCGGCGCCCAGGCCGUGCUCCCGCCGCUCAAGACAAUCUACGGAAGUGACAAGUUUUAUGACGACCACGGCAAGCACGUCUGGCCUGCUGCCCCCGAAUAUGGUAUCAUGAAACCCAAAAUCAAAUGGGCGCGUCACCGGGAGUUUUUGGGAGUCGCCUCUCCGCCGCCGCCGAUGCCUGGAGACAAGAGGUGGACAAGGGUGCUCCCCAAAGAUACACACGCGGUCGGCGACAUCCUUUACAAUGACAAGGAUGGCUUGUUCUACAUCCUAUAUUUGAAUGGUUCCAUUGGUACCUUGGAUCUCAGCGGGCCUUCACCAUCACUGACCAUGAUCAUGCGCCGCGAGAUAAGUUCGUCCCCUUAUCAUACCAUGUACCUCGCCCUUGGUUCAUCAGGUGAACUCUUGCAGGUAGAAAGGAAGUGGAGUCCCAAAAAUAUUUCACUAAAGUAUCAUGACACUUACCGAGACAUCAACCUAGCCAGUGAAGAUGACCAAGAUAUUGAUGCAUCACGACCGCUUGAAAUGGCACAUCGGCUUGUCAAGAAGGCCAGCACGGUCCAGCUCCUGGUCUUCAAGGUUGACAUCGAGCGGCGGAAGUUGGUGAAACUAAGGGACAUUGGGGAUCACGCGCUCUUUCUUGGGCUCAACUCUGCCGUGUGCCUUCCGACCAAGGACUUCCCGGCGUUCGAGCCAAACAGCGUCUACCUCACGGACGCCUGUUUAUACUACGGCCCAAUGCUACGAAAAGAUCUUUGCAUCUAG
rnacentral:rRNA from 1 species